GUAGGUGGCAAGCGUUGUCCGGAAUUAUUGGGCGUAAAGCGCGCGCAGGUGGUUCUUUAAGUCUGAUGUGGAAGCCCCCGGCUCAACCGGGGAGGGCCAUUGGAAACUGGGGAACUUGAGUGCAGGAGAGGAAAGUGGAAUUCCACGUGUAGCGGUGAAAUGCGUAGAUAUGUGGAGGAACACCAGUGGCGAAGGCGACUUUCUGGCCUGUAACUGACACUGAGGCGCGAAAGCGUGGGGAGCAAACAGGGAUUAGAUACCCUGGUAGUCCACGCCGUAAACGAUGAGUGCUAAGUGUUGGGGGGGUUUCCCGCCCCGUCAGUGCUGCAGCUAACGCAUUAAGCACUCCGCCCUGGGGAGUACGGUCGCAAGACUG
rnacentral:rRNA from 1 species